ensembl:lncRNA
GGUAGUGCAUUAAGUGUAAAACAAACAGACUGCAGAAACAAUUCUUCUGAUUAGAGGCAGAGAGAAAAUAUCACCCUGAGUGGAGGCUGAGAUUCAAGAAGGGGCAGUAAAAUCUGAUUAUUUAUAAGGGUGAUGGAGUGCUCUGGCAACCAGCUGCUGCAGCUUCAUGUCAAGUACAAGAGAAAUUGUUUGGAAAAGCUCCGAGAAAUACAUAGAGAAACUUCUGCUAGCAUGAACACCUGACAACAUUUAAAACACUUCCCCAAAAGACAAAUGGUUAAAGGAAAACUUCACUGUAGUCAUGUAAUAACAAAGCGGAGAUCUAAGAAGAAAAUGUCUGAAGUCAUCCAUAUAGGUGGAGAAAAUGAACUGCAUUCAAAUGGAAAUAUUGGGAGCAAACAAUUUUCUAACAAGCAAGCUGGUUCUAGCUAAUGCAACCGCAGUCAGCUGAGCUCUCCUGAGGACAGAGGGGAAUGAGUCCCCUCAGUGAGGUGGGGCAAAACAAAAAAGUUCAAAUGGAGGUCAUAGCAACUUUUUGAUACCGCAGUGCAGGUUGCAGCCUGUGUUUGAGAAAAGCACAGCUCAGCAUGGGAAAAAGCGAUGCAAAGGCUGCCCUACACUGCUUUGAUCUUCAGCUGACCAAAUGAUCCCAUCUUGCCCUCCAGCAUAUGGAGCUCUCUGGGAUAUGAUCCCGCAGGCUUUCAUAUUGGCUUGGAGGUAAACUGAAAGCAGAUAGCGGUGUUAUCUAAGAGCUUUAAGGACACUUCCUGACUUCCCACAUGGCGUUACAUCCCUCUCUGCUUCAGUGGUGCUCUCCCCCUUGGCUCCAAGGACAUGAUAGCGACAAUGAGGAAAACAAGGACAUAUUAGAUGCCUGAUGAAAAUAUCAACAGUGCAGUAUGGGCGGAGGGGAGAGCAAAAUCUGUAGAAUGUUGUCCCCUUGUAAAGCUGCAGCAAAAACAAGAAGUUCAAAUGAAGGCUACAGAACAAUUUUUUCUCUUCAGGGGGGUAGCUUGGAGGUAGUGUAAGUGGCAAAAUCCUUUCACCUUAAAAUGAGGGUUUGAUUCCAGCCCAACAUGCACCAGGCUGAUGAGCCUGAAGGAGAGGAUGAAAUUUCCUCUAGCUCAUUGAUCCACUGAGAGUUUUACUUGCCAAGGAAUGAGAAACCCUAGUUAUUCUUUCAAAGGGAUCUGUACUAUUAUGCUGUUUUGAUAUGAAACAGGUUGUAAGUAUGCAAGCUAGCCAAACUUUACUACAGAAAUACUCUUGAUUUCUCUCAAAGGAGAUUAUUUUCCUAAAUGAGGCUCCUAUAAUCACUACAGUAUGAGCAGAAACAAUCAAAUUCUGCCCCUUACACAGCACAGAAUGACAUCGCAGUGGUAAAAUACUACAAUGCGAGCAAUUAUUUUUCAUCAUUACAUUGGCUGUAAUACUCUGUACAUUACAAUGAAUUUGCAGAAAAUAUAGUCGAAAAUUUAAGUUCAAAGAUUAACAUCAGAGUACCAUUUGUUUUGUCCCUGCAGUUUUUGAUUAAUGGAGAUUGUUAAUUCAUACUGCCUCUUGGUUGAUAGUGGAGAGGUUCAUUCAUUCCACUGUCUUGAAUUUAAAUUUAGACUGCUUAUAUGUGUUCAUAUUUUCAAUUUAUAUUAUUACAUCCACUUCUGCUCUAUUCUUUGUUCAUUAGGGACCUCUGAACACCAGCUUGAGGAAGUUCUGUUAAAUGAAUCGCAUGCCCUUUGCAAGAGCUCUUUGAAUGACAUGUGUAAUUAUCAACAAUUAACAAGAUGCUAAUUAUACCUUCAAAUUAUAAUCCUACUGAGCAAAAUAAAAAUCCUUUAUGGAAGAAAAAAUUGUUAAAGACACAACACUAUAUUAAACCAAAUGACAAAAAGUUUGGCAACUUCUAAUGGUAUAAAUCAAACAAACUGCUGAACACAUCACACAGCUUGCCAGAAUGGCUCUCUGCCAAUUAGCUCUUCAGUGCAUAUUCAGUAAGGUGGGGGGAGGGUAAUGUAGAAAAAUGAAGGAGGAAGGGAAUUUAACAGACAUG